rnacentral:rRNA from 1 species
AACGUAGGAGGCGAGCGUUAUCCGGAUUUACUGGGCGUAAAGCGCGUGUAGGCGGCACGAUAAGUUGGAUGUGAAAGCUCCUGGCUAAACUGGGAGAGGACGUUCAAUACUGUCGAGCUUGAGGAUGGGAGAGGGAGGUGGAAUUCCGGGUGUAGUGGUGAAAUGCGUAGAUAUCCGGAGGAACACCAGUGGCGAAGGCGGCCUCCUGGCCCAUUUCUGACGCUCAGACGCGAAAGCUAGGGUAGCAAACGGG